AGGUGCGUGUUUAGAAUUAUUAAAGAUAGGAUAAAUUAAGUUGUUAAGGAUAUCAAAAAAGACACAAAGCUUUAGUAUAGAACUUGGGUGGUUUGAGAAAUCAAUUAACAUGAUUUUGAAAGGAAAAAAAGGUUCUUUGAGCAUAAUGAUCGAGAUGAAUAUUCAUGUCAGUGCCAAGUUUGUUAAUAGACUCACAGAUGAAAAGGAGAAACAUAUCAUGUGUCCUAAAGAUUUCAUUUGCUCUCAUUCUUUGAGGCUUUAAUUAUCUUUGGAAAUAGGACAUAUUUUAUAUUUGCAGUGUCAUGAAAUCCUUGGCCUUUUCCUUGUUCCAAUAUUUGAUAUUAAUUUUAUAGAGAUUUUACUUUCAGUAUAUUCAUUUUGGUAUGCUUGUAGGAACUAUCGUCCUCUUUUUUUGUGACUUUUGCCUAUUGGGAAAAGAUGAGAUUUUGUUUGGGUUCUGAAUUGCCGCAGAUUGACUCAAUAUGAAUGACCAGCUAUUUUAAAUUAGGGAGUAGUAAUAACCAAUGCAAUGCAAGUUUAGCAGUUUUUUUGAGCCACCUUACUGCUCCUGAUUUAGUGGAAAGAAAAUGUGUUGCUUCAGUUAAGAUUCACUGUAUGACUUUGGUAUAUACAUAUUCAUUUAUUAAGCUGACUUUACCCCGAAUCAUGAUUGUUAAGUUUCAGUUGUUUUGCCUGAAACUUGGUUGAAGUUGAGAUUCUAGACAUGCUUAGGAUUGAAGGUGAACUUCGGCCUCUGUUCUUUUGAUGCUGCAAAUUUGUUAUACUCCUUGAGCAUAUUUAUUUAUCCUUUUCUCUCUUUAGCUUUGGAUGGUUUAAUUCUUCUUGGUGUGUACUGUGAUACAGGUCAAACUACUUUAGAAAGUUUGGAUCAUCUAACUAAUUUAUGAAUUAUUUGGUGUAUGAGCUCCUAUUUUUUUGUAACAUUUUGAAAAUUGGCAUCCAUGUGGACCUAUGAUGCCUCUUCAGUCUUCGAUGACUUUAGAUAACUUAUAGGACAGGAUCUUUCAGGUGUCCUUCCUGCAUCUCUGGAGAAGUUACAAGAGAUCGAGUAAGAUUGAUGAAGGUCUACAGCAGCAAGUAACUCGAGAAACACUGCCAAAAUCUAUUCAAUACGAAGUGGGUUAAGAUGGAGUAGAAGCAUGCAAGAGAUGGCUACUUGACAAUAACUAUCACUUUAAGGGGAUGCUACAAAUUACUGCGCUACCUACAAAUUACUGUACACAAAACACCUACUACUCUGUUUUUCCUUCUAAUGUUUUGAUAGUAUGCCAUGAGGCUAAACAUGCCUGCGAAAACUAUCGUCUUUACCAGUGUAAAUUAAUAGAAUGGUGAUAGUCAUCGUUACACUGAAUCUGGUGAGUAUAUACAGAUGAGUCUGAACUGCCCAUAUGACACUGACUUAAAAUCAUUUUGUUUUUCAAUUUUUUAUCCUUCAAAUAUUUUUUUCUUCCAUGUAGAUGAGUGGAAGAGCAGGGUGUUGUGGAAAAGAUGGAAAAGAUGAACGUGGUAUUUGUAUUGUCAUGAUUGACGAGAAGAUGAAGAUGAAUAGCAUCAAGGACAUGAUGUUGGGUAAACUGGCUCCAUUAGUCAGCACGUUUAGGCUGAAUUACUAUACAAUUCUGAAUUUAUUGAUUCAUGCCCAAGGCCAAUUUACUGCCGAGCACGUUAUCAAAAACUCAUUCCACCAGCUUCAGUAUGAGAAGGCGUUACCUGACAGUGGAAAGAAGGUCUUUAAGCUGGAAGAAGAAGCUGCAAAGCUUGAUGCAUUAGGAGAGGUUGAGGUUGCAGAAUAUGAUAAACUAAAGCUUGAGAUAGCGCAACGUGAGAAAAAAAAAUGAUGGUUGAAUUACACGGCCUGAAAGGGUUCUCCAUUUUCUUCUUCCUGGUAGGCUGGUCAAGGUACGAGAAGGUGGAAAAGAUUGGGGUUGGGGUGUUGUACUCAAUGUGGUAAAGAAGCCUCCAGCUGCUACAGGUUCUUUGCCUGCUGCACUCUCUACUUCACGUCGCACAUGGCUCUCUUGGUUCUGGUGAAAAUGGUUCACACAACUAAGUUAGAUUAUGACUUCAUUCCUGAGUAUGUUUCCAAAUAUUAGGUUCCUGUUCAAUUGCCCUUAGAAUAUCUGUUCCUGCGGAUCUUUAGCCAAUGCAAGCAAGGCAAAGCAUCAUGCUUGCUGUUCAGGAGCUUCAGAAACGUUUUCUUCAAGGCCUUCCUAAGCUUAACCCUGUAAAGUACAGAAAAUGAGAAGAUGAGGCUGACUUUAUGAGGUCUAACCUUCGCCACAACAUUAGUGGCUUAGCUCUUUGCGCUUCCUGCAGGUGCAUUUUUUAUGCAUAUGAUACUAAAAGCACUACAUUCAUAAAUGUGCCUUACCCUGCAUUUUGUUUUCACAGCUUGAACUCUUGACCUCUUGAUCACAUAGAAAAACUUUACCAACUGAUCCUUAGGUGACCUUUUAUCCCAAAUCUUUACUUUGGUAAAGUAGUUUGGUAUAUGAACAAUUUUCUUUCGUUCACCACUAAUUUCUUCAGAUUGAACUCACUUCUAAGAAGGAAACUUAGAAACAUUAAAUUACAGGAGGUUAGAAAUUCAAGUUUUUUAAAAAGAAGUGGCUCGUCUUAAUUACGGAUGAAACAGUAUAUUCAUAUCUAUGUUCA